rnacentral:rRNA from 1 species
UACGAAGGGGGCUAGCGUUGUUCGGAAUCACUGGGCGUAAAGCGCACGUAGGUGGCGACGUAAGUCGGGUGUGAAAGCCCCGGGCUCAACCUGGGAAUUGCAUUCGAGACUGCAUUGCUGGAGUACGGAAGAGGAAGGCGGAAUUCCCGGUGUAGCGGUGAAAUGCGUAGAUAUCGGGAGGAACAUCAGUGGCGAAGGCGGCCUUCUGGUCCAGUACUGACACUCAAGUGCGAAAGCGUGGGGAGCAAACAGG